rnacentral:sRNA from 1 species
AACGAUCCGACAAAGUACGCUGUAAAAGGCAGAAAUCUGUAUCAGGUAGAGGAAGGAGUGGAUGACCGUCACUUUGAAAAAAGUGUAAAUGACCUUGCCGCCUCUCAUGUGCUCAGAGAGGUGGUUUUUGCUUGUUUUGGGUGGGUGUACGCUGCUUGCAUGGUGCAGAAAUCGGAAGGGAGCUGAAAAGAAGGUGCAGAGGUGCAUUUCAUACCCAUACCAUUAUGCGGUUAGGGGCACAAAUACCGUACAAGGAGGAGAUGGGCACAAUUUUAUAUG